CUACGGAGGGUGCGAGCGUUAAUCGGAAUUAUUGGGCGUAAAGCGUACGUAGGCGGUUGGUUAAGUUAGAUGUGAAAGCCCCGGGCUUAACCUGGGAACUGCAUUUAAAACUGGCGAACUAGAGUUGAGUAGAGGGGAGUGGAAUUUCAGGUGUAGCGGUGAAAUGCGUAGAGAUCUGAAGGAACACCAGUGGCGAAGGCGACUCCCUGGACUCGAACUGACGCUGAGGUACGAAAGCGUGGGUAGCAAACGGGAUUAGAAACCCUAGUAGUCC
rnacentral:rRNA from 1 species